rnacentral:tRNA from 1 species
CCGGUGGUGGUGAGGCGGGACGUCAUGCCGAUGUCGUGGCCGAGGCGCGCUAUGCCGAAGUCGCAGAUCUUCACCGUGCCGUCGGUC